UUUCUGUCAUUUAAAAAAGGAGAGACUAUAUAUGUCUACUAUAAACUCUCAGGCCAAAGGACAAAUAUAUGUGCAGGGAGUGACCAACUCGUAAUCAAUCACAUAUACACUGAAAAAGAAUUGGAGAUUCCUGCUGAGGAAACCGACAUUGUUUGCUUUGACACUGGACACGAUAAGUUUGACAGUUAUGCCAUUGAUUCACUGUUAGGUUCCUCUUUAUUGUUAACAGACAAGGAGGAAUCUGUGCAAGUAACCACAGAGACUUUGUACCUAAACAAAAGUGCUGAGAGCACCACGGUGGAAGUGGAUGAGCCUCCACCUGAAGUGACACUGUUAGAAAAUGAUGAGAUUGAUAGGGAUGUACCUGAGGACAUUGAUAAGGUUGUAGAGGUUCCAGAUAAUGAUGAUCUGAGACAUUUUGAGGCUUUAGAGUCCUCUCUGCCUCAGCCUGAAACUCUUGACACAAAGGGAGUGGAAUCUAACACUGUACUUGAGACCACAGCUGAGAGGAUCAAAGAUUACCUUCAGAAAGAUCAGCAGAGGACAGAGGACUCUGUGCCGUACAGUGUUGUUGAACCAGAGGAAGGUGAGAUCAAAGAAACCCCCUCAGAACCUGAAUCC